UGUGAGGGCGCGAGGCCGCGCGCGGGCCGGCGCUGAGGUGAGGGGACGUGAGGUGAGGGGACGGGAGCAGAGCGGCCGCCGCGCCCCGGCCCGCCCGCUGCCCACGCGAGGCGAGCGAAGGCUCGCUGAAGUGACAUCAAAGUGUCAUUCUGGAAUCGGGCGUUUAAUUUCUCUCGGGGUUCUGCUCUAGAAAUUACACACAUCUAUCUGAACUAUUCUUGGAUCCUCUUCAACUUCCGCAACGAGAACAAGUCACAGAUUCAAAACACAGAUUGACUCGAGGCGGGCGAAGGCAGCGGGCAGGGGACGGAGGCGCCGCUGCCGCCCGGCCCCGCCGGCCCGCGCAGCAUCCCGGCCGCGGGAGCGCGCAUCCCGCCGCCGUGCGUGGCGUGAUAAUCGGGGCUGAGACAGGGCCCUGGGCGACGGAGACCUCCCCUAGGCUAGAAAUAACUUGUUGUGGAAAACUCUUUUGGGAUAAAUACGCCCAACGGCGCUGAAAAUACCUUAAGCCCCAAGCCUAGAGGUUUGCUCAUUUCCCUUCGGAUUUAGGUAAUGGUUAAAUAUGGAAGGGGUAGGCGAGAUCCCCCAUCACCCCCCCUCCUCGGCGCACGGUGGCUCUGUAGCUUGAGAGCGAUGCAAACACGAAGGCGAAAGAGGAGCGGAGCCAGGCGGGAGGGAAGCGGUUGCCUUCCUCGCCUGCGUGACAGUGCUCAGGCUGCUAACCCGGGGAGGCGGGCACGGUAGCGGGGACCCCCGCAUUGAGCAGGGGGGAAACGUGCCCCCUUCUGCAAAGAGAAAAAGGCUCGUCUUGCUCUGCACACACUCCCCGAUCCCAAAACACGGUUUUCCAGGUCUAGCCUCGGAUUCCUGGUGCAACCAGGAAAUCCGGCUCAGCUCUGCAGUAUCUUUCUGAGGUGGUUCUGGGCUUCGCUCUCAGACACCUCAGGUCACCAGCAACUUCGAUGAGUGUAGGGCGCCCGAAGUACGGCCCUGCAGCGAGCAAAUCGAGAUUUAAACCUUCAGAAACGACCGAAAAUUAUGUUGGACAAGGCAGGAGCAAACUUGAGCCUCCCUCGCGUCCAGAAGAACGCUGACUUUGCGAACAGGUGCUUUCUUUCACCACGAACCCAACCCCGACGUAUUCACAGAAAAAAAAUAGAAAAAACUUUGUGCCUGUGAGACCGUGUGGAACAUAGGAUUAACGUGACUUCCCAAAAUCUAACUAAGCAAGCAAGCACCACCACGAGAAAACCGUCCAACCUUUUGCGUGAUGCUCUAGCAGUGACACAAAAGGAAGUUGAAGAACACAACUGACACAUCGCCCUUCACACCUUCAUUAUUGCCGGAAAGUUCCUGGUGCUGGGCACAGCAGUUUUAUUUACGGCAUCUCUGUAUCGCGGUCUCCUUGCUGCGCCUUUGGUUGAUUACGCUGAAAAUCAUUCACGCCGUCAGCAUCACAAAUAAAUGCUGGAAUCAGUAGAAACAACCAGAUUAGAACAACUCGGUGUAAUUUCGUGUACGCGUCUUCGUUGACUCAUUGUUUGUGACUUUUUGCAAAACUGUCUUUCUCGUUUCCCUCUGAAAUGGGACGAUGAACUAAUAGGCUUUCGAUUACCUUUCUAAACGGCGCUUUGGCUGAGCCUGAUGAAAGCAUCAGAAAACAUUACUGUAAAUUACUAUUAAGGCUCAAACUCAAUUCUGACCUGGUUACAAUGAAAUACAUAUUCGUCUUUAGA